UUACCAGCUUGACAUGAAUGAAAGUCCUUCGGGCACAGGUGCUGCAUGGCUGUCGUCAGCUCGUGUCGUGAGAUGUUGGGUUAAGUCCCGCAACGAGCGCAACCCUGUCUCAGUUACCAUCAUAUGGGACUCUGGGAUACUGCCCCGGUUAAGGGGAGGAAGGUGGGGAUGACGUCAAGUCCUCAUGGCCUUUAUGCUGGGCUACACACGUGCUACAAUGGUGUACAAGGGGCAUCGCGAGACAAGCAAUCCCAAAACAUCCCAAGUUCGGAUUGGAGUCUGCAACUCGACUCCAUGAAGUUGGAAUCGCUAGUAAUCGCGAUCAGCAUGCGCGGUGAAUACGUUCCCGGGCCUUGUACACACCGCCCGUCANNCNAUGAGAGUUGGUGACCGAA
rnacentral:rRNA from 1 species